GUGAAUCAUCGAGUCUUUGAACGCAUAUUGCGCUCGAGACCUCGGUCAAGAGCAUGUCUGGCUCAGCGUCGUUUCACCCACUCGCCACCUUUUCCCUCUUCUCGAAGAGCGGACUAGGAAGGCGACCUGGCUUUCCCCGUGACUCUCGCGACGAACGGGGUCGGCUGAAGAACAGAGGCUUGAGCAUGGCGCCGCACAAUGGCAGCCGGCUUGGUAGGUGGCUCACGCUACAUGCCGCCGGAGGUCGCAGCGCCAUGUUGUAAGGCCCGCAGGAACCGACCUCUCGAGGUCGGACACUUAACCAUCGACCUGAGCUCAGGCAAGACUACCCGCUGAACUUAA
rnacentral:rRNA from 1 species